GAAUUUUAGAAGAAAAAAAUAUCGUCGCAGUGUUUUCCCAAAGUACGUCACUAUUGUACAGGCUACGCUACUUAUUGUAUAUUUACAAGGUCUUUCCUCUAUUCUGUGUAAAGACCUCUUGUAUUUAUUCCGAUAAGUUUUUUCUUCCUCUUCUUCCAAACUUACUACGUGCCCAGUUAUGUGAAUCCGCAAGAUGUCGCUUAGAC
rnacentral:lncRNA from 1 species